rnacentral:rRNA from 1 species
AUUGAACGCUGGCGGCAGGCUUAACACAUGCAAGUCGAGCGGGGGAAGGUAGCUUGCUACCGGACCUAGCGGCGGACGGGUGAGUAAUGCUUAGGAAUCUGCCUAUUAGUGGGGGACAACAUCUCGAAAGGGAUGCUAAUACCGCAUACGUCCUACGGGAGAAAGCAGGGGAUCUUCGGACCUUGCGCUAAUAGAUGAGCCUAAGUCGGAUUAGCUAGUUGGUGGGGUAAAGGCCUACCAAGGCGAAGAUCAGAAGACGGUCUGAGAGGAUGUUUUUGUUCACUGGGACUGAGACACGGCCCAGACUCCUACGGGAGGCAGCAGUGGGGAAUAUUGGACAAUGGGGGGAACCCUGAUCCAGCCAUGCCGCGUGUGUGAAGAAGGCCUUAUGGUUGUAAGGCACUUUAAGCGAGGAGGAGGCUACUCUAGUUAAUACCUAGGGAUAGUGGACGUUACUCGCAGAAUAAGCACCGGCUAACUCUGUGCCAGCCGCCGCGGUAA